GAUGUUUGCAACCGUAACUAUAACGGUCCUAAGGUAGCGAAAUUCCUUGUCGGGUAAGUUCCGACCCGCACGAAAGGCG
rfam:Helianthus annuus linkage group 17, whole genome shotgun sequence.